GUUGGCAGUGAUGAUAAUAGGAAGAAAUUCCCUAAAGACUAUGAAAAAGGACUUCAGAGUCUUGGGGUGACAGGUAAAGGGUUCGGGAGUACAAGUUGUGUUCUCCUCUAUCCCUCCAGUUAUAGGGAACAAUGAGGGACUAAAACUGAUGGGCCAAUGGAUUAAUACCUGGCUCCAAGCCUGGUGUUCCUGGCAGGGGUUUGUGUUUUUUGACCUCUGCUCUGUUUGCAUGAGACCAGGCCAGCUGGGAACCUAUAGGAGUAGCUUCUCCCACUGGUGGAUAGGGGCCUUAAGACAGGAGUUGGGAAGGUUCAUUCAUAGAGCUUUAAACUAGGUAUGAAGGGAGGUGGGGGUGUAACUGGGGUCACUAGAACGGAGCCUGUAUGUAACAUCUCAGUGCUUGUAGAAGAGGGAUGUGAUAGUAAGAUCCCCCAGUCUUGUGUCUCGGUGAAGGAGGAUGACUCCUUUUGUAGGAAGAACACAAGGGUUGAUGUGAGGUUGGUGGCUGUGGAAACACCUGAGUAUCGUCAUGAGGGUAUUAGGGCACCUGCCACUCAAAAGGAGGCCCAGCUCAGGUACCUUUACACUAACGCACACAGCACGAGUAAUAAACAGGAGGAGCCGGAGGCCACUGUGUGGUCGGAAAGCUAUGAUACAGUCACCAUCAUGGAAACAUGGUGGAAUGGCUCGCACAGCUGGCAUGCUAUGAUGGAUGGCUCCCGACUUUUCAAAAGAGACAGGCAAGACAGGAAGGGUGGUGGUGUAGCCUUCUAUGUUAAGAAUGUGAACAUAUGGAAACUAAUGAUGAUGAUGAUAGGGUUGAGAACUUAUGGGUCAGAAUAAAAGCAAAGGCCAAUAAGACUGAUAUUAUCAUGGGAGUCUGCUACAGGCCAUCCAGCCAGGAUGAAGAGGUGGACAAGACACUUUAUAGACAGUUGGGUGAGGUCUCAAGGUUUCUCCCCCUUGUUCUUACGGGGGACUUCAACUUCCCAGACAUCUGCUGGAUUUAUAAUACAGCAGAUAAAUAACAGUCCUGGAGGUUCCUAGAGAGUGUGGGAGAUAACUUCCUGACACAGCUGGUGAGGGAGCCAAUGAGGGGAAGCAAAAUCCUGGACCUGCUGUUUGUUAACAGAGAAGGUCUUGUGAGGGAUGUAAAGGUUGGAGGCCAUCUGGGGCAUAGUGAUCAUGAGAAGCUAGAUUUCUUGAUCCUUGUUGAAACCACAGAGGGGAGUCAACAGAACUGUCACCUUGGACUUCGGGAGGGCAGACUUAAACCUCUUUAGGACCAUGGUUGAGAGGGUCCCUUGGGAGUAGUUUUGAAGAACGUGGGAGCCCAGGAAGGCUGGGAAUACUUUAAGGAAGUUAUUUUAGAGGUGCAGGAGCUGACCAUCCUCAAGUCACAGAAGACAAAUCGACGAGCAAAGAGGCCACACUGGCUGAACAGAGACCUUUGGCUGGAUCUCAAGAACAAAAAGAAAGUUUAUGGUCUCUGAAAGAGUAGGCAAGCUACUUAUGAUGAUUACAGGUAUGUAGUGAAGCUGUGCAGGGAGAAAAUUAGAAAAGCCAAAGCCCAGCUAGAACUGAACUUGGCCACUAAGGUAAAGGAAAACAAUAAAUAUUUUUAUAAAUACAUCAACAGCAAGAGGAGAGCUAGGGAGAAUCUCCAUCCCUUGUUGUAUGCCGAAGGCAAUUUGGUGACACAAGGAUCAGGAUGAGGUGGUUUUGGACCUGCUCCAAAAGCUGGAUGCUCACAAGUCCAUUGGGCUGGAUGGACUGCAC
ensembl:lncRNA